rnacentral:rRNA from 1 species
AGCAGCCGCGGUAAUUCCAGCUCCAAUAGCGUAUAUUAAAGUUGUUGCAGUUAAAAAGCUCGUAGUUGAACCUUAGGCCCGUGCGGGCGGUCCGUCCUCUGGGCGAGCACUGCCUCGUCGCGGGUCUCACCUUCUGGCGAGCGUGGAUGCCAUUCAUUUGGUGUCUGCGGGAACCAGGACCUUUACCUUGAAAAAAAUUAGAGUGCUCAAAGCGGGCUCUUACGCUUGAAUACAUUAGCAUGGAAUAAUGAAAUAGGACGACGGUUCUAUUUUGUUGGUUUCCGGGACGGUUCGUAAUGAUUAAUAGGGAUAGUUGGGGGCAUUCGUAUUCAAUUGUCAGAGGUGAAAUUCUUGGAUUUUAUUGAAGACGGACUACUGCGAAAGCAUUUGCCAAGGAUGUUUUCAUUAAUCAAGAACGAAAGUUGGGGAUCGAAGACGAUCAGAUACGUCGUAGUCUCAACCAUAAACUAUGCCGACUGGGAAUCGGCGAUGUUAUUUUCGNGACUCGCUCGGCGCCCGA